CAGGUGGGGGCAUUUCCUUGUGAUGGUAUAAAUGGCCCGUUCUGCAGACAGGGGCUCAGUGAUCUGUAUCAGACCCGAGUGCAGCGAUCAAGAUGAUGUCACACAGCUGUUUGCUGAUCAUAUUAACCAUCUGGGUUCAUGGAUCCUGUGGACAGAUUGUGAUGAGUCAGACUCCAGACUCUGUCUCUGUGUCACCAGGAGAACGCGUCACCAUGACAUGUAAAGCCAGUAGUAAUGUUAACAGCUAUGUAGCCUGGUACCAACAGAAACCAGGACAACCCCCAAAGCUCCUGAUCUAUGGUGCCAGCAGCAGAUACACCGGGACCCCAGAGCGGUUCAGCGGCAGCGGGUCGGGAACUGAUUUCACUUUUACCAUCAGCGGAGCGCAAGCAGAAGAUGCAGCAGAUUAUUACUGUCAGCAGUAUCAGAGCUGGCCUCUCACAGUGAUACAGAGCCGUACAAAAACCUUCCUCUUUUUCAUCAAAUCUGCAGCAUCAGAUAUGAUCUGUUUAGCUGCUUAG